CUAUCCCGACUACGUUGAAAACACCGGUUCUCCUCGGAUCCACUGAAGUUAAGCAAUGUCAGGCCCGGUCAGUACUUGGGAGGGUGACCACCUGGGAACACCAGGUGUAGCUGUAGGCU
rnacentral:rRNA from 1 species